UUGCAAGAAGAGCUUCGCGGAGUAUACGGUAUUUGGUAAGCAUUCUCUCUUGUGGUGGGAAGCUGUCUCUUAUGCCAGGAAAGUUGGAGAAAUUUUUCAUCCAUGCGGAAAGUGAUGGAUACCUUUGGUCAUCAAUCAUCUUUAACUCCAUAAUUUCUUCCAACAAGAUGACCAUGUUUACAAUCCAACCAAGUGAUAUAUCUGCAAAUCCAAGAGUUUCUCCAUUAAAAAACUUUUUUCCUUUAAGCUCUCCUUCCAAGAUCUUUAGGUUUUCUGAAGCUGAUACAAGUGCUUCCUCUGUAUUUUCCCCUUGUGAGAUAAAAACUCGCCAAAUAGAAGGCAAACACUGCCACGAAGAGCAAUUGUUUUGUCAAAGUUAGAAUACAAACAAAAUAAUCAUGAGAAGCAAAAGUUAUGGAAUUUUAAACAUAUUGGGGCGCAUAAGACAACUGUAGAUUUAUUUGUGGACGAUGACAUUGGUCAGUCUCACUUUCAUAGGAAAAACUGAUUAAUUUCUGGAGAGGAUUGUUCUGUGAGCCAACUUUUAAUUCCCAAUAUUGGUAAACCGAGACCUGACUUUAUGAUAAGGGAGACCGCUUCCUCCAGCUAAUUCAAGAUAUUACAUGGUAACCAGAAAAAUCUUGAUUGCUUUUCCCCUCCUAUUUCUUUGAAAUGUUUGGAGAGAUGCUUCGACCUCCCUUGUGAAGAAACCUGUUUUUUUUCUUUUUUUUGUCCAUGAGUUCCUGAAGAGUUUUGCUCCUUUGGCAUUCUCUUCUUGUCUUGUCUAAUGGGGUACUCUUAAUGUAAAACAUAGGAAUUUUCGCAUAUAUUUUCAUUAUUGAAUGUUAAUGUCAUCAUAAAUCAAUGGGAUGAAUAAAAAUACAUGUUGGUGUCAUUAGAUAUGAAAUGGUGGGAUUCCUGAAAUUAUGGAUGCUCUGUUCUGGUCCAUCAAACCUUUUAAUGCCCUUUUUAAUUUGUAUUCGGGGAAAUCAUGACAAGAUCUGGUCAAUUUGUGUCUGUGUUGGUGUUCCUAAACUUUUGUGAUAGAACCAACCCAAUGACCUGACUGAAAACAUUUGUAAAGGUCUAGGUCCUACAGGAAGACCUCAGACCUGGUCUUUUCACAACCUGGAUAAUCAUAUUACUGGUUGCAAAUGCAAUUCUCUAAUAAUAUACAUAGCAUAUAGGUCUACUCAGUUUUUAAUUGUUACAUGUGUUUUAUGAUGGUUUUGCUAUUUCCGAGUUCCUAACAUGGGGUAUGAAUGCUGGUGUGCUUAUUUCUCCUACUUUUCUCCCACAUCUGAAUUCUCUUUUCCAUCUUCAAGUCUUUCUUGUUACAAUGUUGCGGAAUGUGCAGUUUUUUGCCCCUAUCUAAAUUACAAACUCAUCAUUACUUACUGCCAUAUUUCCCAUACACUGGGGCAUUAAGUAUUGUCUGAUGGUUAUGCACAUACAUGUCCUUAGUUUAUCACUUAUGACUAUAACAAUUUAAAUAGGAAAUCAUGGGCUCUAAUGGUCUAUAAUAAGUACCACAAACAACUCACAAGUUAGCAUUGUUAAGGCAUCAAUAAUGAGGAGCAGAUGUUACUAUUACCUUCUCUUCUCCAAAUUUAGACCAAAACCGUGCCAUGGCCCUUUGAUAAGGAUCUUCUGGAAGGAUGGGAUUCUCUUUCCAUGUCUCAUCCAUGUAUUCAAGGAUGACAAGUGAUUCAGCAAUUGGUUUCCCCUCAUGAACAAGCACAGGGACCUUCUUAUGAACAGGAUUAUACUUCAACAGCAAUGGACUCUUAUUUUGGAGAUCUUCUUCUAUGAAAUCAUAUUCGACCCCCUUCAUUUUGAGUGCCCAUUUGAUCCGAAGGACAAAUGGGCUUGACCAGGUCCCCAAUAGCUUUACCUCUGCUUUUGCCAUUUCUGCUCGUAAAGGUUGUUGCUGCAGAACCGUAUUUGUAAGCAAGCAUAUGCUUCUUUUCUUUUCUUUAAUUGCUGGAUUAUUUGUUUGUUCCUAUGGAACAUUCUUUCCUCUAAAAGACUUUGCCGGCCUUUUGUCCCGAUAUACUUACCUCUCAGUAUCUCUGCCUCUUUGGAAUCCUUUGCAUUCAUACUAAUGACUCAUCUCUCUCUCAGUAAAAGACUCAUCUUCAUUUAUUUACCUACCUCAAUUUUGAAGACCUCUGUAAUUCACCAAUAAAGUCUUUUGUAAAGAAACUGUGUUUUCAUUAGUUAUUUUUCUCAGCUUCUUUUUCUUGCACGUAAUUUUCCCACCAUCUUAAAAAUAUACAUACAGGCAUACAUGCAUACAUACAUACAUACAUACACACAAAUUUUUCCUUGCAAUGCAUCCUGACAUGAUCGUGAUCAGCUGCCAGUUGCAAUUCAUUCAGGUUGUCUUGGGAAAAGGAUCUCUUCUCGUACAUGUUUAACCAUAUAUUACUAAUAUCUAAAAAUUUUCAUAGCUUCAGAAGUAAACACUUUGCAAGCAGCACUUGGACACUUGUAAUCUUGUGAGACCCUUCCAUGCACCAACUGGUCUGACUUGUGUUCUGGAUGAUGUGAAAGUAAUGAAUCAGAAUAUUUAAGUUUAUUUCAGGUCUACAGUUAAUGAGGAUCACGUUUGUGCUGGAUGGAGCUCGUAUGAUUAAAUUCAAGCAUCUACUUGUUCCUCUUGUUUUGUUGUUUAUGUUAACAGAUUCCCAAGUGUCAUGAAGGACAAACUUAUGGUAGAAAAAACAUUUUUUUAUAUUGUUUUAUGUGACCAAAGAAAUGGAAGGACCAUUUAGAGCUGUUUGCGUUUUGUCAUUUAGCUUAACACCAGAUGUUUGUUGUUCUUUAUUCUUCCAGACGAGAUAACAACAUUGCUUUUUCCAAAAUUAUCUUUUUCUGAGUAAAAGGGAGGCUGAAGCCACCCAAGCUAUAUUAAUGAAAGAAAUGAAUAUUAUACAGAGUUUACAAGGAAAAAGAUAAGGUUUGAGGAGGAUUGCAGAAGCACGAUAGAAGCAAACCGCAACAUAUAAUGAACGGUGACAAAUCAAAGGCUGUCUUUUUGCAAUUCUGAAUUUCUGUCCAUUAUCUGCCUACAUUAGUUCGGUUGUGACAUGAUGAAAUACAAACUUUAUAACAGAUGCACGUGCCCAUGAAUUCUGAUAAUUUGAGUAUAGAAGAAAUUUCUUGAGAGGAAAAUAAAAAAGUUUAACCAUAUAAAGUGUUUUUUCCCUCUUUUCCUUUUGAGUCACCCUGAAAAUUCAACUUUUUCUUUCUUUGUUUUUAUAUAAAUAUUGAAGUUGCUGGUACAUUACCUAUCGUAUAUGGAUCUCGUAAAUCAAGGGUUUGUAUAUAUAUUCUGAUUCAAAAGGGAGAUUUGGAUGAGUCGGGAUGAAAGUGGAUCUAAUAAUAUACGUUUAGAUUCAUUUUUAUAUCUUAAUUUAUUUGAUAUUAAAAUAAAUGGACAAUUAUUCGAUCUAUAUUUUAAUAUUUAAUUUUAUUUAUAAUUUUAUUUAAGUUUAUAUAGGAUUCAUAAAUUUGUAAGGAAAAUAUAAAAUCAUAUUAAUAUAUAAUUAUUUGAAUUACUAUCCACUUAAUAAUAUUUUUAAUUCUUUGUUUAUGAAAUUUAAUUAUCUAGUCUAUUUUUAUUUUUAUAUUCAUACCUCUAAUAUUUGAUUUGUAUCCGUAUUUAUUUAAAAUAAAAAUAGAUAUAAACUUUUGCAUCCAAUUAGUAUCAAUAAAUGCAUCUAUAUUCAUCAAAUAAAUAAAUAUGGAUAUGGAUAUUAUUGAUAUCCUAUUCAUAUCGGAUUCAAUUUCAAAUAUACUGAUGCACGUUCAGAAAUGAAACCAAUGAAUACUUAGGACUUGUUUAGUUAACGGAAAGUGAAAGACGAAAGAGGCAUUUUUUGAGAAGUAGAUAGAAGAUCUUUUGUUUGGUUUGGAGUUUUAAAAGGAGAGAGUAGAAAAAAAAAAUUUCAUGGGAAGUCACUUCUCAUAUUUUAUAGAAAGUAAAAAUUCAUAGAGGAGAUAUAGUUUGGCACUUUCCAUGAGAUGAGAAGGAUGAAAAGUGAUGCUAUUUUAUUCUUUCCCAAAAUACUCAUUUAGAUCAACGAUUAAGAUUUUAUAAAAUAUCAAUAAAAUGGUUAGGAUAAAAUACUGAAUAGUGAUAUGAUAUUAUAUUAAUAUUAUCUUAAUAUUUAGUGAAUAUAAUAUUAAUAUUAUAAUAUUUAUUAUAUUUUAAUAUUUAUAUUAAUAUAAUAUUUUUAUUAAUAUUAAUAUUAAUAUAAUAUUAUGUUUAUAUCUAUAUUAAUAAAUUUAUUAUAUUAAAAUAUUAAUAUUAUAUUAAUAUAUAUUAGUAUUAUAUUAACAUAAUAAAUUAUUAUUGUCUAAUAUUAUAUUAUAAUAUAUUUAUAUUAUAUUUAUAUUAAUAUAAAUAUUAUAUUAAUAUGUAUAUAAAGUUUAGGAGUAAAAAGAUAUGGUAUUAUAUCUACUAAGCGUAUAAUAAAUAUUUUACAUAAUUUUUUUAAGAAAAUGUAUGCUCCACCAAACAUAAGCUAGUCUGUAAUAAGUCAUUUUUUCAUAAUCAACCAAAUAUAUCAAAAUUCUAUUCUUAAAAAAUAAUUUUUUAAAAAUUACUUUCUGAGAAGUUAUUUUCUGAAAAUUUUUUUUUCUAUGAAUCAAAUGAGUCCUCCGAGAUUAAGAAUCUAUAAGUAAUUCAAGAUUAGGAAUGGGGCCUAUAAAUAAUUUUCAUGCACGAGUUUGACUGUUUGAUGGCAUCCUGUGUCUGAGAGAAGUUGUGUGAGUGAUUUAAGCUACCAUCGGCCACCUUCAAAUAUGUUUAAAGAUUGUUUAGUUCGCGAUCGGAAUUGAAAUCGAAAUGAAAAUCAGAAUAGAUUGGAAUCAAAAUAGCCUAAUUCUCCAAAACGUUUGGUUCGUGACCAAAAUUGAAAUCGGAAUAGAUAAUUUUCAUUGUUAUUGCUCGGUUCAUAUAAAGAUAGAAAUUGAAGUCAACUCAAUUUUUUUUAUUUUUAAUUAAAAUUUUUAAAAAUUAAUUAUUUUAAAAAUUGAUAUUAAAUAAAAAUUAAAUAUAAUAAUAAGAGAUAAAAUAUUUUAUGAAAUAAAAUAUAAAAUAUAAAUAAUUUUAUGAAAAAUAAAAAAAAUAGAAAAAAAAUGAAAGAAAAAAAAAGAAGAGAGGUGAAGGAAGGCAGGCACGCCCCCCUACCUGCACUUCUUCUUCUUCGUCGUAAACCCCCCCUCCUGCGACCAUGCCACCUCCGUGCGGCCCCACCCCAUUGCCGUCCGUGCCGCACUUGCCGUCCGUGCCGCACCCUCCUCUGUGCGACCACCAAACCCCAUCCCAUCCGCUCUCCUGGCUCCAGUGCCACCAAAUCCCCUCCUCUCCUUUGGUUUCGGUGCCACCAACCCCCCUCACCUCUCCUCCUCAGUCUCGGGCACUUUCCGCACCUCCCCACCCCUUCCAUCGCCACCCCCUCCCCUCUCCGCCGCUGCUUCUCCAUCCAACUUCUAAAACCUUGUCCAAAAUCCUAGCCUCUGGUGAUCUCUCUCUAGUCUUUCGCUUUGUCACCGCCUUCGCCCCAAUUACCGUCGCCAACCUCGGCCCCGGCUUCGACUUUCUCGGUAGUGCCGUUGACAGCAUUAGUGACACCGUCACUAUCGCGAUCGAUCCCGCCAUCCCUGUUGGAACCCUCUCCAUCUCCUCCAUCUCCGGCAUCACUGCCUCCACUUCCAAACUCAACUGUGACCCCCUUUAGAAUUGCGUCGGCAUAACCAUCAUGCGGGCCCUCAGUGUUUGCUCCAUCGUUCUCUCCCUCCACCUCAAGAAGGGCCUUCCCCUCGGUAGUGGCCUCAACUCCAACAUUGCUAGCACAGCCACAGCCGUCGUCGUCGUUAAUGGUCUCUUCGGCAACAGUUUCUCUCCCAGUGAGCUCGUCCUUAUCGGGCUUCACCCCUCGAUCGUACUUCCAUCCCUCCCCCGAUACUAUUACAGGUCCUGCCAUCGAUCUCCACCUCCGCCUUCUCGUCACUGCCUAAAAAGAUGAUGUUGUUAUCAUGGGGCUCGUCACUGUAAUUUUUUUUAAUAUUAUUUUAUUAAAAUAAAAUUAACUCUAUUAAGAUAAAUCUGUAUUCGAUCAUAAAAAAAAUAGAUCAUUUUUAUUUUUUAAAUAAAAUAAAAUAAAAAUUUUCCAAUCAAAUAAUUAAAAUGAGAGCCAUCCGUUUCAGUUGUUGUUGAAAAUCUUAACUCCCCCACCACAACACCCCCCCCCCCCCCCUCCUGAACCUCUUCGGCAAACCCAUAAAUAUUUCACCAAAGCCCUCUCGCUUCUCAAAACUCCCCGCGAACUCCACCAAAUCCACCCUCUACUCAUCACUUCUGACACCCCGGCCACCCUUAUGGCAAGCUUAUCGCCGACUACUUGGAGCUCCGGAAUGCCGCUGCCUUUCGGUCGGUGUUCCUAUCACAUCGCUACUCCAAGAACAACGUCUUCAUCUGGAAUUCUUCGAUUCGAGCUCGAAUGCAGAAUGACACGUUCUCGGAAGCUCUGGAUUACUAUAACGAGCAAGGGAGGAUGAAACUGGGCCACAAUGCCUUCACCUUCCCCUCACGUCUCGGUGCCUGUGCUGGUUCAGCCGAUCUCGAGCCAGGCCGGAAAAUCCAUGAGUAUGUUUUGGAAGUUGGAUUGGUUUCUGAUUUGCACUUCAGAAAUUCUUUGGCUAAUGUGUGUGCGAGGGUCGGUUCCUUAAAUGAGGCUGGGAAGAUGUUCGAUGGAAUGCGUCACAGAGGCAUUGCUUCACCUGUGAAUAGUACAUGAGGAAUGGGAGAAAACUAUGGAGGUUUAUGGGGGAUCAUAGUUACUUGUCCGAUUCUGAAUUGUUCUACAGGGGAGCGUGUCUUGCUGGCCUAUGGAGGUCUUGGGGCUGUCGAAGAGGGUAGGAUGAUUCACAGGCUUGUAUAUGAGAUUGGGAUCAAGGAGGAUAGACUAGUGAAAAUGGUCUUAUUUUUUUUCAUGUACUCUAAUUUGAGAAUUUAACCGAAGCUCGAAGAAUUUUUUAUGUGAUGAUGGGAAGGGACACUGUUUCUCGGUAUACCAUGAUUGAUGGGUAUCACCAGUUUGGUGGCUUGGACAUCGCUUAGGAGCUGUUCCAAGAGAUGGUGAUUGAAUCAGAACUGGAUCUCGUGACAAUCAUAACUAUUCUUCAUGUUUCUGAUGACGUCAGUGACUUAAAACCUGGUAUUUCAGUUCAAGAUUACAUGAUAAGGAAUUGGUACAAAUGUGAUACUGUGGGAGUGUUCUUAUAGCUAUGUUUUCAAAGGGUGGAAAUUUUUUCAUGUCAUGAAAAGUGUUUGAUCAGAUGGAUUAUAGGGACGCUGUUUCAUGGAAUUCACUGGUUAGUGUUUAUGUUAACAUGGGAUUUUGGGUGAAGGGACAGAACUUUUUUAGUCCAUGAAGGACCUGGAAGUUAGACCUGACUCCGUUACAAAUCUAUUUAUCAGCAAUGCUCUUGACAUGUACUUAAAAAUGUAUUGGAUUAGAAGAUGCAGUGAAAGUGUUUGCGAGCAUGGAAUGCUAUUAUAUCUGGGUGUGUCCCGUAUGGUAAUUGCAAUUUAGCAUUCAAACUGUUGACCCAAAUGAAGGUCAAGAGACCAAAUCUGGACACGGCUACAAUAUUGUGCAUCUUACCUGCAUGCUCCUUCGUGGCAGCAACAAGAGAAAAAGAUCCAUGAUUGCAUUUUUAAACCAUGAUGUUCCAAUUGGGAAUGCUCUGAUUGAAAUGUAGUCAAGUGUGGCAGUUCAGAUUAUGCAGCCCAUGUCUUUGAACACAUGAAUACUGGGCACAUUGUGUCAUGGACCUCUUUGGCAUUUGCCUAUGGUAUGCAAGGUCAAGAUGAGAAGGCCUUGAGAACAUUUUGGAGGAUGAAAAAAAUGGGUAUAAGACCAGACAGUGUCACAUUUAUCGCCGUCAUGUACGAAAUAUCCAUGCUGGUCUAGUUGGAGAAGGUAAGAUGUGUUUUAAGAGGAUGAACAAAGACUAUAAUAUCAUGCCCAAAAUGGAACACUAUGCUUGCAGGGUCAAUCUGCUUGGGUAUUUUUGGAAAUUAGUUGAGACAGAAACUUUCAUUGAAGAAAUACCAUUUGAACUGACAUUAAUAUAUGGGGAGCUCUUGCCUGUAGAGUCUCUGGUGAGACUAAGAUGGUCGAGCAUGUUGCUAAAAGAAUUAUGGCCAAGGAUUCAGAAAACACUGGCUAUCAUGUUCAUGUAUUAAAUAUAUAUGCAUCUAUAAGGAAGUGAGAUAUUGUUAGUCAUAUAAGGAAAUCCAUGAAAGAUAAAGAAACCAAAGAAAGAUCCAGGAUUUAGCUGGAUAGAAAUCAGAAGUAAGGUGCAUGUCUUUUGGACUGGGGAUCAAUUGCUGGAAUAGUCUAAAAAGGUGCAUCAGCUAUUAGAAAGAUUUGCUAGAUUGAUGGCUAAGGGAGGAUAUAUUCCUAAUAAGAAUUUUGUCCUGAAGGAACUGGAAGAUGACGAUAAGGGAUAUAUGCUAUGCACACACAGUGAGAGGCUCUAAAGCUGUUGGGUUGUUAAAUACAAAGACUGGAAUGCCAUUGCAGGAAAUGAACCUUCAGAUAUGUGGAGAUUGCCACACGGCAAGCAAACAGAUAUCAAAAAUUGUCCAGAGAGAAUUAUUGGUCGGAGAUGCUAGUCACUUUCAUCUAUUCAAGGAUGGAAUUUGCAGUUUUGGUGAUUACUGGUGACAAACUCUUUUUUCCUAUGCUUAGGACUGAUUUUUUCAGACAUGUAGAAAUACAAAAUACUAAUGUGGCAGAUGGAGAGUUUCGAGUUUACUUGGUGAAGAUUCGCUUAAUUGGUUUUUAUGCAAAUAAUAGAGAAAAAUCUGAAAAUCAAAAGGGCUAUCCGUAUAUAGACAGUCUUUUGUCCUGUAAUCUUAUUUAAAGAGUUGGAUUACAUUUUUGAAAUUUUGUGUAUGGUUAAUUCAUUACCAAGAAUGUAAGUGGCAAAAGAGACUGAAUUCAUGCCAAUUAAAAAAAAAAUGAAAAUAAUGAAGCAGAUUUGAAGAUGCUUGUUUUUCAAUUAGGUGGCAUCCCUUUAUCAACUGCAUGUAAGCAUUGGUCAUCCAUUAGCAUGAGGUGGAAUGGGAGUGGGAGCAAGUAUGAGAUUUGGUGGAAGAAAUGAUGUUUAUUUAUUUUGGUUAAAGUUCAGUGUGUCAGAGUUAAUGGGAGCAGGUUAGAAAGAAGACAGCAUGGAAGCAGGUUAGAUGUUGUGAUACCAUGAUUCAUGUUUCAAAAACUGUUAAAUGCUAGCAGAAAUACUCAGGAGUACACUAAAACUGUUAAUGCUAGUACAUUUUUUUGAUUGAUCUUGCAUGUUGGCCACCUGUUUUGAUUACACCUUCAUUUUUUUGUACAUAUUCUCUUAAGAAUUGAUGGUGGGAACUAUGCUCUAGUAGGCUUUUGCACAUGAUUAAACAUGCUUAUGAAGUGAUAAUUCCAUGCAGGGAAUUUUUAACUAUCACAGAAUUUGGGUCAGGAACAGCAAAAGAAUUAUAUAUAGCAUCGUUCCAACAUGACAUGUUUCUAAGUUAAGAGAAAGUAACACUUCACUCUGGUGCUGGUUUGCAAGUGGACUUAUUAUGGAAUUCACAAAGUGCAGCAAGUUCAGUUUGCCCCCUUGUUGCAAGAAAAGCUUCGCAGAGUGUACAGUAUUUGGUAAGCAUUUUCUCUUGUGGUGGCAAGCUGUCUUUUAUGCCAGGAAAGUCAGAGAAAUUUUUCAUCCAUACCGAAAGUGAUGGAUACCAUUGCCCAUCUAUCAUCUUUAACUCCAUAAUUUCUUCCAACAAGAUUACCAUGUUUACAAUCCAACCAAGUGAUAUAUCUACAAAUCCAAGGGUUUCUCCAUUAAAAAACUUUUUUCCUUUAAGCUCUCCUUUCAAGAUCUUUAAGCUGAGACAAGUGCUUCCUCCAUCUUUUCCCCUUGUGAGAGGAAAACUCGCCAAAUAGAAGGCAAACACUGCCUCAAAGAGCAAUUGUUUUGUCAAAGUUAGAAUACAAACAAAAUAAUCAUGAGAAGCAAAAUUGAUAGAAUUUUAAAAACAGUGGGGUGCAUAGGACAACUGUAGAUAUAUUCGUGGACAAUAAUAUUGGUCAGUCUUGCUUUCAUAGGAAAAAUCUCAUUAAUUUCUGGAGAAGAUUAUUCUGUGAGCCAACUUUCAAUUCCCACCAUUGGUAAACUGAGACCUGACUUUAUGCUAAGGGAGACUGCCUCCUCCAGCUAAUUCAAGAUAUCACAUGGUAGCCAAAAAAAUUCUUGAAUGCUUUUUCCCUCCUAUUUCUUUGGAAUGUUUGGAGGUCUGCUUAGACCUCCCUUGUGAAGAAACCUGUUAUUUUUUAUGGUCCAUGAGUUCCGUGAGAGUUUUACUGUUUUGACAUUAUCUUCUUGUCUUGUCUAAUGGGGUAAUAUAAUGUAAAACAUAGGAAUUUUGCCAUAUAUUUUGCUUAUUGGGUGUUGAUGUCAGCCUAAGCAAUGGGACGAAUAAAAAAACACAUUGUUAUCAUUACAUAUGAAACGACGAGAUGCCUAAAAUUAUGGAUGCUCUUUUCUGGUUCAUCCAACCAUUUAAUGUGCUUUUUAAUGUUUAUUCAUGGAUAUUGUGACAAGAUCUGGUCAAUUUGUGUCUGUGUUGGUCUUACUAAAAUUUUGUAAUAGGGACAACUAGAUGACCUGGCUGAAAACAUUUGUAAAGAAGGUCUAAGAAGACCUCAGACCUGGCCUUUUCACAACCUGAAUAAUGAUAUUAUUGGUUGCAAGUGCGAUUCUCUAAUAAUAUACAUGGCAUAUAGGUGUACUCAGUUUUUAGGUGUUACAUGUGGUUUAUGAUGGUUUUGCUGAUUGUGAAUUUCUAACAUUCGGUAUGAAUGGUUGUGUGCUUAUUUUUCCUACUUUUCUCCCGCUUUUGAAUUCUCUUAUCCAUUUUCAAGUCUUUCUUGCUAUAAUGUUGUGCAACAUGCAGUUUUGUCCCUAUCUAAAUGACCACUCAUCAUGAUUUGCUGCUGUAUUUCUCAUACACCCUAGCAUUAAGUAUUAUCUGAUGGUUGUACACAGAGAUGUCCUUUGUUUAUCACUUAUGACUAUAACAAUUUAAACAAGAAAUCGUUGGCUCUGAUGGUCUAUAAUAAGUACCACAAACAAAUCACUUACAAGUUUGCAUUGUUAAGGCAUUAAUAAUAAGGGGUAGAUGUUACUAUUACCUUCUCGUCUCCAAAUUUAGACCAGAAACGUGCCAUGGCCCUUUGAUAGGGAUCUUCUGGAAGGAUGGGAUUCUCUUUCCAUGUCUCAUCAAUGUAUUCAAGGAUAACAAGUGAUUCAGCAAUUGAUUUUCCAUCAUGCACAAGCACGGGGACCUUCUUAUGAACAGGAUUAUACUUCAAAAUCAAUGGACUCUUGUUUUGGAGAUCUCAUUCUAUGAAAUCAUAUUCGGCCCCCUUCAUUUUGAGUGCCCAUUUGUCCAGGUCGCCAAUAGCUUUAUCUCUGCCAUUGGCAUUGCUGCUCGUAAAGGUUGAUGGUGCAGAACCGUAUUUGUAAGCAGGCAUAUGCUUCUUUUCUUUUCUUUAAUUGUUGGUGUAUUUGUUUGUUUCUAUGGAGUAUGGAAUGUUCUUUCCCAUAAAAGACUUUGCUGGCCUUUUGUUUUGAUAUGCUUACCUCUGAGUUUCUCUGGAAUCCUUUCCAUUUAUACUCAUGACUCAUCUCUCUCUCAGAACAAGACACAUCUUCAUUGAUUUACCUACCCCAAUUUCGAAGACAUCUGUAAUUCACCAAUAAAGUCUUAGAGAAACUAUGUGUUUCCAUUAGUUAUUUUCCUCAGCUUUCUAUUGUCGCAGGUAAUUUCCUGCCAUGUUACACACAUGCACCCAAAUUUUUUCCUUAUAUAUGCAUCCUGACAUGAUCGCAAUUGGCUGCCAGGGACAAUUCAUUUGGAUUGUCUUGGGAAAAGGGUCUCUUGUCAUACAUGUUUAACCAUACAUUACUAAUAUCUAAAAGUUUUUUAGCUUCAGAUGUAAACACUUUGCAAGCAGCAGGAAGACACUUGUAAUCCUGUGAGACUCUUCCAUGCACCAACCGGUCAGGUAUGGUGCACUGACCUGUUUUUUGGAUUAUGUGAAAGUAAUGAAUCAGAAUAUGGAAGUUUAUUUCAGGUGUACAGUUAAUAAGGAUCAUGUUUGUGCUGGAUAGAGCUCAUAUGGUUGCAAUUCAAGCAUCUACUUGUUCUUCUUUUUUUGUUGUUUAUGUCAGCAGAUUCCUAGUAUCAUGAAAGGCAAACCUGUGGGCAAAAAG
rnacentral:lncRNA from 1 species